rnacentral:rRNA from 1 species
AUUGCCUACGGGACGCAGCAGUGAGGAAUAUUGGUCAAUGGGCGGGAGCCUGAACUAGCCAAGUCGCGUGAGGGAAGACGGUCCUAUGGAUUGUAAACCUCUUUUGUCGGGGAGCAAAGAGAUCACGUGUGGUCAAAAGCGAGAGUACCCGAAGAAAAAGCAUCGGCUAACUCCGUGCCAGCAGCCGCGGUAAUACGGAGGAUGCCAGCGUUAUACGGAUUUAUUGGGUUUAAAGGGUGCGUAGGCGGGACGGUAAGUCAGCGGUAAAAAUGCGGAGCUCAACUCCGUCGAGCCGUGGAAACUGG